CAUAAAUCAAUCUUCUAUAAAGUUUUAGGAUUUAGAGACUACAAAUAUGGGCUGACUAAUCAAAACCUCUUAUUCCCUAAAAGCUUAAGUAAUUAUAAAGGAUAAUUUAUUAUUAAAAAAUAUAUAUUAGAAAGGGCGUUGCUUUUUGGACUUGGCACACUUGGAUGUAGUAUGAGCAUUAAUUGAUAUGGGUUACAAUCUGGUUAGAUUGGGUUUGGUUAGUCGGGUUAUGUUGGGUUGGGGAUGGACGAGCAAGUGAUCAACCCAACUCAACCUAAUCAAUGAACGAGUUGAAAUUGAGUUGGGUUCGGGCA
rnacentral:lncRNA from 1 species